CCAGAGCCGAAGUUGGACGCCCAACUGAUUGAACCAACCAGGAAGUAAUUAAGGGUUACACUGUAAACAGCAGAAAAACUAAGGGACAUAUGUAGGACUACAGAGGAUCAAAGAAAUGAGAGAUCAACUUCAGUUGGAAGAGAUUCAAGAAGACCUUCUAGAGUAGUUAUGCUUCUGGCUAAGGUGACAACACAGAAGAUGGAGUAGAGCAGCCAUGGGGCAAAGGAUAUAAAACAAAACCAGCAAACAGAAAAAGGUGCAUGAGAUGAAGUCUACAGAAAACUGGACUCAAGCUUCUAAGAAUUCUCUGCCAGUGGAGUCAAACAGGAUAUGAUUAAUUCCUACAGGAAUGAACACAUGUGAUAACAUAUAUGAAAUACUGUCUACCAGGAAAAUUCAUUGGAGACUCAGCGCUCAGGGUUUUUGUAGGGGUUGGUCAUCCUCUCUGUGUAGUGUAUACCAUCAUUCCAGACUCCCAGAAGGAAAGCAGGUAUUCAAAAUAAACCACAUUAUUUACAGAAACAGUUUGGGUACAGUGAGUUGCACUUACCAGUUAGAUAAUGAUAGAGACACUCCUAAAAUCCAAGUUCCCAGAUUCCAGCCAAAGGCCAAUCUUAUAAGCAGGCUUUUCUAAGGAUAGCAAUCAAUUUUGUAUAUAUUGGAAAUAUUCUUUUUUUUUAAAGAACAGAUUUUACU